rnacentral:rRNA from 1 species
GACGAACGCUGGCGGCGUGCCUAAUACAUGCAAGUCGAACGCUGAAGAGAGGAGCUUGCUCUUCUUGGAUGAGUUGCGAACGGGUGAGUAACGCGUAGGUAACCUGCCUUGUAGCGGGGGAUAACUAUUGGAAACGAUAGCUAAUACCGCAUAACAAUGGAUGACCCAUGUCAUUUAUUUGAAAGGGGCAAAUGCUCCACUACAAGAUGGACCUGCGUUGUAUUAGCUAGUAGGUGAGGUAACGGCUCACCUAGGCGACGAUACAUAGCCGACCUGAGAGGGUGAUCUGCCACACUGGGACUGAGACACGGCCCAGACUCCUACGGGAGGCAGCAGUAGGGAAUCGUCGGCAAUGGGGGCAACCCUGACCGAGCAACGCCGCGUGAGUGAAGAAGGUUUUCGGAUCGUAAAGCUCUGUUGUAAGUCAAGAACGAGUGUGAGAGUGGAAAGUUCACACUGUGACGGUAGCUUACCAGAAAGGGACGGCUAACUACGUG